CAAUCUACUCAACGUAAAUUCGGGACCGAUUUAGAUUCUCAGAGACAGUGCGGAAAAUUAGAUCAAAUUCAUUUCGGAAAAUUCGUCUUUGAUGAUGAUUGUCUGGACUUGGCAGAAUAUAAAUUUUGCUAAUGCAUAAACAGUCCAAGUCAAAGAAAAUUGCUGAAAUUCCUAGUUAGAAUGGCGAGGAGACGGACAGAAAGUUUUGACACGUUUCGUCUCGAUUCGACACCAAAAAACACGGAGCGUCAUGGGAGAUACGACAGAGGCGACUGGACUAGUUUAUACAUCCUCGAAGAAAGUCCGAAAAUAAACUCAGUGGAUUUAUUUAUUGGAGUCUAUGAGACUUUUAUAAUAAUGCUUUUCUAUGUUAAAUCUAGUGAGGUGUAUUAUGAUUGAGAUACUGUAUAUAUUUCAUUUUAAUUUUGCUAAUUAAAUUGACAAAAUAAACAUUAUCCCAUGCAUCGCAA